UUUAAGGGUUCACAUUUGAAGAAUCUGCUGCAUUACAGAUAACAUUUUAUUGCAAGUAAAUGCAUUUCAAAAUUUGCUAUUGGUUUUGUAUUAGAUUAUUCUCAGCCUACUUCAUUAUCAAGCUAUACUAUUUUAUUCAUGCAGUUUGAUGAUCUUAUGGCGGAGAAGGAAGCUGUAUCUUCAAAAUGUGUCAAUUUGGCUAAAGAGAAUCAAGUUUUUCAACAGGAGUUAUUAUCUAUGAAAAAAGUACAACAGGAAUGUGAAAAACUUGAGGAGGAUAAAAAGAUGUUGGAAGAAGAAAUAUUAAAUCUUAAGACACAUAUGGAAAACAGUAUGGUAGAACUUAGUAAACUACAAGAAUAUAAAUCAGAGCUAGAUGAAAGGGCAAUGCAGGCAGUAGAAAAAUUAGAAGAAAUCCAUUUACAGGAACAAGCACAAUAUAAAAAACAAUUAGAGCAGUUAAACAAGGAUAUAAUACAGCUUCACUAAAUAAGAAGGAACUCACACUUAAAGAUGUGGAAUGUAAAUUCUACAAAAUGAAAACUGCUUAUGAAGAGGUUACAACUGAGUUAGAAGAAUAUAAGGAAGCCUUUGCAGCAGCAUUGAAAGCUAACAGUUCCAUGUCUAAAAAAUUAACUAAAUCGAAUAAGAAAAUAGCAAUGAUCAGUAUCAGCUCUUUAUGGAGAAAGAGCAGGUGAAAUAUUUUCUCAGCACUCUUCCUACAAGGCGAGGUCGAGAGUCACCUUGUGUUGAAAAUCUUACUAGUAUAGGACUCAACAGAAAAUAUAUUCUCCAAAUGCCCGUAAGAAUUCCUACUUCAAACCUCAGACUUCAAAUAACUGCCAGAACUACUUGACUGAGCUGUUGCUGUAUUGGACACUUGCUCCCAUCUACUUUCUUCUCUAGAAUCCACGGAAGAUGUUCUAAGCUCAGCUUGUAUUUUCUCUGCGCCAGCUCUGGAAUGAGUCAUUUUUUUUAGAAGCAGAGGUGGAGCCACUGAGGAAGCACAGACUCCCAUGGUGGUGGGUUGUGUCACCCCAGAAUGUCACUGUUGCUGAGUCCCCAUCGCCUCUGUGUUGUGGAGCAGUUAGAGACACACAGCAGUGUCUGUGAGUAGCUCUGCGUGAAGGACCAUUUUCUAGAUGAGAGGCACAUCUCAACACAGCUCACUGAUCAGAUUCAGGUGAGUGGGACCUGCUCUUUUCUCUUCCUUCUGGCUUGGGAAAAGUCACUAUCAGGUGGAUGGUUUUGGUCUCUGGGCAGCUACUGAGGGUAAUCCCUGAACACUCACCAGCUGCCUGUUAUGUGCUGACAGUCAUCUCAUUCAUCCUCGCAGCAAUUCCAUUCUGCAUCUUUUCUGAUCACCUCCGUGACCACACAGGACAACCCCAUCAGGGCCCUGUCACCAGGCCCAGUCUAGCUCCAUGAUAACCAAGACACAGGCCCAGAGACAAUCGUCCUACAUUGUGCCUGCAUCUGACACCCCUUGGUAGGUAGUGACCAGCACAACAUGGAAGAAGCCAGGGCAGCAUGCAGCCAGCUGCUCUGCAGCCCCAAAUGGCUCCUGGGCCUUGGGAAGUCACUCAUAAAGGGGAAGCUGGUCACUUUGAGGUCCCUGAAGGGAAGGGUGAACGUGCAUCCCAACAGCCCUGGCAGCCAGCAGCAUGCCAUACAUAUUCUCACCCAACGUGUGUGACAGAGGUCCCCUCCUGGGGCACAAGUCCCAUACCUAAAGCAUCCUGUCCCAGUCGGACCUCAUCCUGAGCCCUGGGAGGGGAGGGGGACCAUGGGCCCCCCUGCAGCAGCCAGGAUUACCACCCAGGGGACUCGGCCUUCUGUGGCCCUGGCCAGACUUAGAAUUUGGCCCAAGACAAACUUACUCGGAGCAGCUUCUCAGUACCUGGGGCCUGUGCAUACCAGGCAAGGCCAAGCUGGCUCAAAGAGCAACCAGCCACCUCUGCAAGGGUAUGCCAGUAGCAGGUGGAGCAGUCACCAACCUCACGCACUCAAGGAAACAGGGAUGGCCAGUUUCCCACAGUCUGAGUGACCACCACCUGACAGCUGAUGGAGUGGAGGCCUGAGGAAAAGCAGAUGGCACUGGGGCUCCACCUCCAGGGCAGAAUAACUGAUUUACCCUGACUGGCAGGGAGUGACGUUGGUGGCUGGUCCACUGGCUCCUGGCACACCCUUGCAGAGGUGGGUGGUUGCUCUUUGAGCCAGCUUGGCUUUGCCUGGCAUGCACAGGUCUCAGUGCAACAAAUGUGCUGCAAAUGGAGCCACAUAGAGGAAAUGAGCAGCAGGCUCAGAACUGGGGUGUGUGCCGCCUUUGGGGCUCCAGUCCAAGCAUCGGGGCUUCUACAGCACUGUGGGCUUCUCGGGUGCCAAGAGGCAGACCACAGGCCAUCUUGAGGAGGACUCUGGUAAGAGCUUCCUUGUGUACGUGGAUGAUGUCCAGAAUGUUGACCUGGUGUCCCUGAGACAGCACUAACAGGUCCAUGACUGGGUCCAGAUCCUGCCUGGGCUGAUGGGCAAAGAGCUCACUGACAGUGUGGAAGGCAUCUAUGGUGAAGUGGAUCUAUGUUCAAGUGCAGAAAGGGCCCAAUCUUGCAGAUGAACCACACAGCCAGCUUCUGGAUGCAGGUGCAGUGCCACAUUUUUUGUCACUUCCUGAUGUGCCCCACCAGCACUGAAGAGAUAGCCUGGAGACAGGGCAAGAGGAAGGCUGAGAAGGAUGAGAUGGUGAGUGCCAGAUUCUUCCUGGCCCUGAGCCCACCCCCAGUGUGACACUCAACUUUUAGGAGUGGGAGAGCAAGAUUGAUGGCUUCAAGUGCUUCAUCAAGAAGAUGGACAACAGGGCACUCAGGUCAACUUCACAGCCAAUGAGUGGUGGCAGGCUUUGAGAAAGAGCAUCAGAAGCCUGACAGUUCUUCUUCAGCCUCAGCCAGGCCUUGGAGCUGGACCAGGCCAUCCACUUCAGUAUAGAUGCCUUCCACUCUGUCAGUGAGCUCUUUGCCAGUCAGUCCAGGAAGGACCUGGACCCAGCCAUGGACCUGUUAGUGCUGUCUCAGGGACACAAGACAAACAUCCUGGACAUCAUUCACAUACACAAGGAAGCUCUUACCAAAGUCACGGAGAACAGACAACAUGUGGCAGAAGGGAAGACAGAGGUGCAGAGGCUGAUGGAGUCAUUAUCACAGGAACAGGAUUUCUUUGGCCACUUUGGCUGAAAUUCACCACUUCCAUCCAAUUCACUCAAGUGAGAGACUUGAAAUCACAGAUGGAGCAUUUCUUGCAACAAGAGAUACUAUUUUUUCAAAAAGUCACCUAAAAUUUGAUAGUGUUGAAUGACUAGCUAUUCGAGUGUGGACUUUUUCCAGUUCACGGGUACUUUCUACAGCAGAAUGAUAACAGUAUCAAAGAGCUGGUGCCAGCUAUCGGUGGUAGUACAAGGAUGACUUUGUGCUCAACUGAAACCCAGCUGAAUAUAGAAUUGUGUACGAAAGUGUUAAUAUGGUGAUAGAAUAGAAACAGUAGCAAAUGAACUAAAUCAUACUAUGAAUGCCUACACUACCAUUAUAACUUUUUGAAGAAUGAUAAUACCACUUACUUUAUUGCCUUUUGAAGUAGGAAUAUUUUAGUGGAUAUUCUAUAGAUCUGAAACCCUAUAAAGAAUCCCAAAGAAGCUGGCUGGAUAAAGCCUGCUAUGGAUGUCUUUAUACUCAAAGACUGAUGAGGCAAUUCGAAUAUGUGUCCCCACCAAAUCUCUUGUUGAAUUAUGCUUCCUAAUGUUGGAGGUGGAUCCUGGUAUAAGGUGAUUGAAUCAUGAAGGCAAAUUUCUCAUGAGUGGUUCAGCACCAUCCCCUUGGUACUGUCCUCACAAUCAUGAGUGACUUCUCGUGAGAUCUGGCCACUGAAAACUCUAUAUCACUCCCUACUCUCCGUGAUUUCCUCUUGCCAUGUGAGACAAUUCACUCUUUCAUUACCUUGCACAAUGAUUGAAAGAUUUCUGAGGCCCCCCAGAAGCAGAAGCACUAAGCUUCCUGUCCACUCUGCAGAACCAUGAGCCAAUUAAACCUCUUUUUCAAGAUAAAUCUUACCAAAAAUGUCAAAUGAGGACUGGAGCACUGCUAUAAAGAUACCUAAAAAUGUGGAAGCAACUUCGGAACUGGGUAAUGGGUAGAGGUUGGAAGAGUUUGGAGGGCUCCAAAGAAGACAGAUGAGAACAUUUUUGGAUCAUCUUAGAGACUGGUUAAAUGGCUGUGACAAGAAUGCUGACAAAAACAUGGACAGUGAAGGCCAGGCUGAGGGGGCCUCAGAUAAAAAUAAGAAGCUUUCUGGAAAAUGUCUCUCUUUUGGAUAUGGAAAGCUUACACAAUGCCUGUACCAUCAUUGUACCUUAGACGCAGUGAACUUGCUUUUUAUUUCAGAGACUUGUAGGCAAAAGAGAAUGUAGCCUUGACCCAGAUGAGACUUUGCACUUUGUAACUUUGAGUUAAUGCUGAAAUGAGUUAAGACUUUGGGAGACUGCUGGCAAGGCAUGACUGUAUCUUGCAAUGUGAGAAGGACAUGAGAUUUGUGGGGUCAGGGACAGAAUAAUACGGUUUUUCUCUAUGCCCCUUCCAAAGCUCAUGUGAAAGUACACUCCCUAAUGUUAGAGUCGGGGCCUAGGUGGAAAAAGCUUUAAUCAUAAAAAGUGGGAGUGGAUCCUUCACAAAUGGCAAAGCACCAAGCCCUUAAUGCCAUCCUCCUGAUAGUGAGUGAGUUCUCAUGAGAUCUAGUAGUUUAAAAGGCUGUGGAACCUCUUUCCUCUCUCUGUCUUGUUCCAACUUCUGCCAUAUGAAACAUGUCAUUGCCGCUUGGAUUUCCAGUGUGGUUAGGAGGGGCCUGAUCAGUGUGGGCCUGGUCCGUGGACCUAGGUCAGUGAGGACUAUUUAGUGGGAUAGUGGUCAGCAGGGGUCUGCUUAGAGAGGGUCUCAUUAGUGGGGUCUAGUAGUGGGGGUUUUGGUGAGUGGGGACCUAUUGGCUGCCAGUUGUUUGGUGUCUGGUCAGUGCAAACCUGGGCUGUGGGGCUUGAUCAGUGGAGACCUGGUCAGCUGGGGCUUAGUGCUGGUCUGGUCAGCAUGGGCUGGGGCACUGGUGACCAGGUCAAGGGGUGCUACUCAGUGCAGGACGGGGCACAUGGGACCUAGUCAGCAGACCCUGGUGGGCGUGUCCUCAUCAGUGAGGCCCUUGUCAGUGGGGCCCUGGUCAGGGCAGCCUUGUCGGCGGGACCUAAUCUGUAGUGUCCUGGUCAGAGAGGACUUGGUCAGUGGUGACUUUUGUAGCACCGGUCUACAGGGUGACUUGGUCAGCGGGAAUCUCAGCAUUUGGUGCCGGUUCAGUGGGGUCUACUCACUAGGGUCCCAGUCAGGGGCAUCUGGUGACAUAAGGCCUCAUUAUUAGGGGCCUGAUCAGUGGCAACCUGUUCCCUGGAGGCCUGGUCAGUGGGGCCUCAUCUUUGGGCCAGGGAAUGAGUUCAUGAUCAGUGGAACCUGAUCAGUGAGGCCUUGUCAAUAAUGACCUAGUCAGUGAGGACUUGUCAGUAAGGACAUAGUCCAUGAGGCCUUGUCAGUGAGUCCUUGUCAGUAAGGUCCUGGUCAGUGGAGUCCUUGUCAUUGUGUGCCCGGCAGUGGGGGCCUUGUUAGUGGGGCCUGGUCAUGAGGGUCUAAUCAGUGAGGGUGUCAUCAGGGAGGACCUGAUGUGCAGGGUCUGGUCAGCAGGGACCUGGUCAAUGUGGGCUGCUGAGCACUGCUUGGAUAAGCCAGGUGCAAUGUGCAUUAUUGAAGGCCCUGUGGACAGCUGGGAUAGCCCAGUGAUGCCCAAGGGCCUAGUCAAAAGUGGACAAAGCACAUAUUUGGAUGGACCUGGGAGAUCCUGCUCAGAGAUUCUGACAGGACAAAGGUAAAGGAAGGGCCAGAGUGGCUGGAGAGAUGGUCACAGUCUAUGGGCUGCACAGGAUGGAGGAGGCUGGGGAACAGGCAGGGUGGGCAGUUGGGGUUCAGGGAGAGGCAGGUGCAUGCUGGGAGGUCAGACCCUGUGAGGGCUUUGGGGGCGUCAGGUUGGGUAGGCUCCAGGCACUCUCACUCACAUAGGAUUCCAGAACACUGCUACAAGGCUCUGAGUGUUUGUCCCUCACAUAGGAUUCCAGAACACUGCUGCCAUUGUCUGAAUGUUUGUCCUCCACAUAGGAUUCCAGAAGUCUGCUGCUGGGGUCUGAAUGUUUGUCCCCCAUCUAGGAUUCCAGAACACUGCUGUGAGGGUCUGAAUGUAUGUCCCUCACAUAUGAUUCUAGAAUAUUGAUGCUAGGGUCUGUAUGUUUGCCCUUAACAUAUGAUUUCAAAACACUGCUCCUGGAUUCUGAAUGUUUGUCCUUCUCAUAGGAAUACAGAACACUGCUGCUGGAGUCUGAAUGUUUGUCACUCACAUAGAAUUCCAGAACACUGCUGCGAGGAUCUGAAUGUUUGACCCUCACAUGGGAUUCCAGAACACUGCUGCGAGGGUCUAAAUGCCUGUCCCUCACAUAGGUUUCCAGCACAAUGUUACGAGGUUCUGAAUGUUUGUCCCUAACAUAGGAUUCCAGAGCACUCCUGCUGUGCUCUGAAUGCUUCUCCCUCACAUAGGAUUCCAGAACACUGCUAUGAGGGUCUGAAUGCUUAUACCUCAUAUAGGAUUCCAGAACACUCCUGCUGUGGUCUGAAUGUUUGUUCCUCACAUAGGAUUCCAGAACACUCCUGCCGUGGUCUGAAUGUUUGUCACUCACAUAGGAUUCCAGAACAUUCAUGCUGGGGUCUCAAUGUUUCCCUUAACAUAGGAUUUCAGAACACUGCUCUUGGGGUCUGCAUGUUUGUCCCUCACAUAGGAUUACAGAACACUGCUGCUGGAGUCUGAAUGUUUGUCAGUCACAUAGAAUUCCAGAACACUGCUACAAGGGUGUGAAUAUUUUUCCCUCACCUAGUAUUCCAGAACACUGUUGCAAGGGUCUGCACGUUGGUCCGUCAUAUAGGAUUCCAGAACACUGCUGCUGUGGUCUGAAUGUUUGUCCCUCACAUAAAAUUCUGGAACACUGCUACAAGGGUCUGAAUGUUUGUCCUUCACAUACCAUUCCAGAACACUGCUGCCGUGGUCUGAAUGUAUGUCCCUCACAUAGGAUUCCAGAACACUGCUACUAGGUUCUGAAUGUUUUUCCCACACCUAGGAUUCCAGAACACUUCUGCUGGUGUCUGAAUGGUUGUCCCUCACAUAUGAUUCCAGGACACUGCUAUGAGAGUCUUAAUGUUUGUCCUUCACAUAGAAUUCCAGAACACUGCUCCCGUGGUCUGAAUGUUUGUCCCUCACAUAGGAUUCCACAACACUACUGCUGGGGUCUGAAUGUUUGGCCCUCACAUAGGAUUCUAGAACACUCCAGCUGGCUUCUGAGUGUUUGUCCCUCACAUAGGAUUCCUGAAGACUGCUGCUGUCGCUAUAGUCGUUGAGAGUGUCUGAAUGUUUGACCUUCACCAAACACCAAAUAUCCUGGCCCUUUAGUCUUGUACUUUCCAGCCUCCAGAUCUGUGAACAAUAAUCUCUGUUGUUUAUGAAUUACUCAGUCUGAAGUAUUUUGUUAUAGUAGCCUAAAGAGACUAAGAGAGCAUCACCUGCCCUGUCACCUCAUCACCGCAUUACUGAAGCUAUACUAACAACAGUCACUUUUAGUGGGUACUUCAUGCAUCAGAAUAAAGGGAAAAAAUUGCAAGGCUUACUAAAA